rnacentral:rRNA from 1 species
CAGUAGCCGCGGUAAUACCGAGGGUGCGAGCGUUAAUCGGAUUUACUGGGCGUAAAGCGUGCGUAGGCGGCUUCUUAAGUCGGAUGUGAAAUCCCUGAGCUUAACUUAGGAAUUGCAUUCGAUACUGGGAAGCUAGAGUAUGGGAGAGGAUGGUAGAAUUCCAGGUGUAGCGGUGAAAUGCGUAGAGAUCUGGAGGAAUACCGAUGGCGAAGGCAGCCAUCUGGCCUAAUACUGACGCUGAGGUACGAAAGCAUGGAGAGCAAACAGGAUUAGAUACCCCUGUAGUCCCUGUCUCUUAUAA